rnacentral:misc_RNA from 1 species
UUUCCGUAGGUGAACCUGCGGAAGGAUCAUUAUUGAAUGGUAUACUUUUGGCUUUAUACUGUUGUGAUGGCUCUUUGGGCAAUGUGCACACGGCUCUGGUCACUUGUUUUUUCUGUUCAACCUGUGCUCUGCCUGUAGACACGCUGUGUCUAUGAUAUUUGUUAACAUACAACAAUGUUAGUUGGUAUGUUACAUAUAAUACUAAAAUAUACAACUUUCAAAAACGGACAUCUUGGCUCACGACUCGACGAAGAACGAAGCAGAUCGGAAGAGCACAAG